GACGAACGCUGGCGGCGUGCCUAAUACAUGCAAGUAGAACGCACAGUUUAUACCGUAGCUUGCUACACCAUAGACUGUGAGUUGCGAACGGGUGAGUAACGCGUAGGUAACCUGCCUGGUAGCGGGGGAUAACUAUUGGAAACGAUAGCUAAUACCGCAUAAUAUUGAUUAUUGCAUGAUAAUUGAUUGAAAGAUGCUAUUGCAUCACUACCAGAUGGACCUGCGUUGUAUUAGCUAGUAGGUGAGGUAACGGCUCACCUAGGCGACGAUACAUAGCCGACCUGAGAGGGUGAUCGGCCACACUGGGACUGAGACACGGCCCAGACUCCUCCGGGAGGCAGCAGUAGGGAAUCUUCGGCAAUGGACGAAAGUCUGACCGAGCAACGCCGCGUGAGUGAAGAAGGUUUUGGAUCGUAAAGCUCUGUUGUAAGAGAAGAACGGGUGUGAGAGUGGAAAGUUCACACUGUGACGGUAUCUUACCAGAAAGGGACGGCUAACUACGUG
rnacentral:rRNA from 1 species